rnacentral:rRNA from 1 species
CGGAGGAUCCAAGCGUUAUCCGGAUUUAUUGGGUUUAAAGGGUGCGUAGGUGGCCUGGUAAGUCAGGGGUGAAAGACGGUAGCUUAACUAUCGCAGUGCCUUUGAUACUGCCGGGCUUGAAUGAACUAGAGGUAGGCGGAAUGUGACAAGUAGCGGUGAAAUGCAUAGAUAUGUCACAGAACACCGAUUGCGAAGGCAGCUUACUAUGGUUUUAUUGACACUGAGGCACGAAAGCGUGGGGAUCAAACAGGAUUAGAUACCCUGGUAGUCCACGCCCUAAACGAUGAACACUCGAUGUUGGCGAUAUACGGUCAGCGUCUAAGCGAAAGCGUUAAGUGUUCCACCUGGGGAGUACGCCCGCAAGGGUG